rnacentral:tRNA from 1 species
GGUCGUGUAGAUUAUUUUUAAAUCCUAAGGCUGUUAACCUUAAGAAGAGUUUUAUUCGGUUCCGCGGCCG